GUCUAUGGCCAUCUCACCCUGAACAUGUCUGAUCUUGUCUGAUCUCAGAAGCUAAGCAGGGUCAAGCCUGGUUAGUCCCUGAAGGAAAGAAAUAUAUGGUAAUCAGUCA
ensembl:rRNA 5S_rRNA 5S ribosomal RNA